AGGUUUUUAUUUGCUUUUCAACAUCCAUUUCAUAGUGGUACAUGUGGCUUUGAUUAAUAUUACCAUAAAGACUGCCGAAAAUGGGUAUGGUACGGAAACCCAGAAAUUGCAUGAGUUCAACAUCAAACAUGGAUUAGAAUUUUAGCGGGGGAUCAAGUCAAGUCUGGAAGUGUUAGAGGAUGGAAGAGUGAGCCUACAGUUGAAAAAACACUGAGAGUGCAUUACCAUUAAGGUAUGAGGUAAAGUAAUAGAGUAUGCACAUUGUCAAAUGAGAAGUACCAUCUUGUGUAAAUGAAUCUUGUAUAACAGCAAUCCUUUAUAGUUCUGUCACAGCUAGAAGCCUCAAAUAAUUCUGCUUCUUGCUAAAGAACAACUUGUCCUUUACGUUCAGAGUGUUGGGGAAACUGGGUACUUAAAUGGCCCUAAAGAUGUUUUAAUUUUGCUGCUAUUGCAGAGAUGAACAUCAUACAUGGACUCUUUAGGUCUUAUCUACCAAAAAAAAUUUUAUCCAAUAGGAAAGGAUUUUCAUGUACUGGGAACACAACUGUCAACAAUGCAACAUUCUAUGGGUGCUAGUUUAUCAUUCAAGAGCCUUAUACAAUGAAGUUAAUCUGCAAUUUGUAUGUCCUUUCCCAAGCUUCCACCAGAAGUUGAAUCUAUGAGUCAUUUAAGUUCCAUGAUCAACAAUUGAUGUG